rnacentral:tRNA from 1 species
AGUUAAUUACUUAAGAAAGUAUUAUGUUUUGAAAACAUAAUUAAGGAGUUCAAACCUCCUAUUAACUU